rnacentral:lncRNA from 1 species
GUUAGUGCGCGUGACUUGCAUUUAGAUUGGCACUGCCAGCUGGGGUUCGAAUCUUGGCGGUAACGGUCGUAUUUUUUUUCCUUACUUGGGGACCAAGCCCAGAUAAAAUUUCCAAGUAAUAAUAGGUAUUCUUUUUCUUUACUUAAUGGGGAGAGAGAGCACACGCAAAACAUACAUUUUAGAGAGAGAAACCGAAAACCAGACCACAGACUCUAGAAAGCAAUCUAAAACCCCAUUCUUCUCCUCCCCUCUCUCUAGUUUACUCUCUCCCUAAAACAUGAGUCCCCUUCGAUCGGACCCUCCCAUUCCCAUUCUUCAACUUCCACAUAUCUGU